rnacentral:rRNA from 1 species
UACGUAGAUGGCAAGCGUUGUCCGGAUUUACUGGGUGUAAAGGGCGUGCAGCCGGAGAGACAAGUCAGAUGUGAAAUCCACGGGCUCAACCCGUGAACUGCAUUUGAAACUGUUUCCCUUGAGUGUCGGAGAGGUAAUCGGAAUUCCUUGUGUAGCGGUGAAAUGCGUAGAUAUAAGGAAGAACACCAGUGGCGAAGGCGGAUUACUGGACGAUAACUGACGGUGAGGCGCGAAAGCGUGGGGAGCAAACAGG